GACAGAGGGUGCAAACGUUGUUCGGAAUUACUGGGCGUAAAGCGAGUGUAGGCGGUCUCGUAAGUCGGGUGUGAAAGCCCCGGGCUCAACCCGGGAAGUGCACUCGAAACUGCGAGGCUAGAGUAUCGGAGAGGUUGGUGGAAUUCUCGGUGUAGAGGUGAAAUUCGUAGAUAUCGAGAGGAACACCGGUGGCGAAGGCGGCCAACUGGACGAAUACUGACGCUGAGACUCGAAAGCGUGGGGAGCAAACAGG
rnacentral:rRNA from 1 species